rnacentral:rRNA from 1 species
UACAGAGGUCUCAAGCGUUGUUCGGAUUCAUUGGGCGUAAAGGGUGUGUAGGUGGCGCGCUAAGUCGGGUGUGAAAUUUCGGAGCUUAACUCCGAAACUGCAUUCGAUACUGGCGUGCUUGAGGACUGGAGAGGAGACUGGAAUUCAUGGUGUAGCAGUGAAAUGCGUAGAGGUCAUGAGGAAGACCGGUGGCGAAGGCGGGUCUCUGGACAGUUCCUGACACUGAGACACGAAGGCCAGGGGAGCAAACGGG